AUUUUUAUCCAGCCACUUCAGAGCACUGUGUGAACAUGGUGAAUUCCACCCUUAGCUGACUAGCAUGGUUUUCCCUAAACAAAGACACCCUCCUACAUGACCAGCACACGGCUGUUUGAUUCAGAAAACCGACGUGGAUACAGCACUACUACCCACAGGUCCUGUUCAGAGUUUCCAACUGAUCCCAAAUAGCUCCUCUUCUUUUCUGGUUGAGAUUCCCAACAAGAUUUGAUGACCCUCCUCUUGCUGUUUCUGAUGACUCUUCAUGACAGGAUCAGUUUACAUUUCCUAUUCUAGUUCUAUGGAAAACGCCAUUGGCGAUUUGAAAUGGAUUGCAUUGAAUCUGUAGAUUGCCUUGUAUAGUGUUGAUACAGAGCAGGACCCUGUGGUCUUUGCUGAGUCCUCACAAUGUCCUCUACCUGCCUUUCAUCUGUGGAAUGACUUUAGCCGAAGAAUAAGUUUAAUAGGAGAAGUUAAAACAUGCAAAAAUGAAGGAAAACAGUCAAACGAGUCCAAACAAUAACAACGUAGCUAUUAAGCAAAGUCGAGGACCUUUAGUUUCUUUUCAAAGGCUACAGAUAAUAUUCUGAGCCAUAUCUUGUGAGCUGUCUUGCAGAUAAUGAAACCUCCCACUAGGUGGAAGACAUUAAACUACAUCAUGACCAUACCGUAGCCUCACAAAAGGUGCCGCAGUUCCAAGAACUGGCCUUAAAGAAAUGGGAACAAACCGCGGAACUGAACACUCACUACGCCUAAAACAAGACGACGCUGUUCAGACCACCAAUGACCAACUUCAAGAUGACUGUCAGAGCUGACUGUGCUGUUUCUGCAUGUAGCCCCUCGCCUCUGUCUGUAAAACCUCUCACCCGCUGAUUGUCAGUAGAGGGACUUGAGCACUGGGCAGAUGUCACCCCUCCCCCCAUGUCACCUGCAUCUAAAAUAAAGCAAAUGUUCUCCUCACCAA